CAUGCUGCUAUAACAAUUCACCCUUGCACCCAUCUCUGUACCAAUAGCUUUAGUAUGAGGGGGUGGGAGAAACUUUAAUGCAGCCCUAUGCAUGUUUACUUGGAAGUAACUGAGCAAUCCUAAUUCCCAGUCUGCAUAAGUGGAGGGGUUUAGGGUGUAGCUUCCAUCUGCUGUGAUCAGUGAACCUGAGGUAUGUCUGUGGGAAUGUCAAGGAGCCUAGAUUAUUCAAAAACAGAAAUACCUUUUUUCUCUUUCUCAAAGAAGAAAUGAGAGAGGUAUAUAUUUGGGCAACAUUAACAAGAUACUAACCUGCAUGUGAAAAACACCUGUAGAGUGGAAUGCUAGCCAGGGUGCCAAGAUGCAAGCUAAGACAAAGGCAGAAGUUGCAGAAUGCAUGAAAAUAUGCUGGUGCAGACAUACAUCACACUUAAUCAGUUUAGCAUAAUGAGAAUGAGCUGCAGCAAACCUCAGGCUCAUAUUCUUCCUUUCUCCUCCAGAGCAGCUGCUAGGAGGAGUUUGGAAGCUUUCACUUCAGCUUAUAAUUAAUCACAGUUUGGUGCAUCAUCUGAACCGGGCCAAUUGUGGUUAAUUUAAACUGUGGCUCUUUUGAAACAGCCAACUUCAAACCAUAGUUAACACUAACCAUAGUUUAGGGUGCAAAUGACACACUGAACUGUUGCUCAUUGAAAUCAGAAGCAAAGGCUCCCAAGCUCCUCACAGCUACACUGGAGGCACACACACCCUGUGCGAAUUUCUGAAGACUGAUUUAUACUAUUAGCUUGUGCGUCGGGACUUCACUUUUUUCUGUGCAAUAUGCUGCAGCUUAUCUCAUCAUUGCUUGUUUAUAUAAAGCUGCUGAUGUUGAUUGCAACAGUUAGUACUCAAGAGUUUCUUCCUGCAAACCUUAUCAGUAGUUCCUCAAUGAGAAGAUAAGUAAGGACAAACUUCCCCUGAAAAGCAGCUUGGUCACCAGUACUGAUCUUCCCCUGCAAUCCAUGGCUGUAGGGGAGCUUGGAAUGUGUCCUGGGGUGCAUUUUCAAUAGAUGGGCUGUGAGGACCAAGAAGAUCCAUGUGGUCGGAAUAUUCAUCUUUAAACAUGUCCCCAGAAUCCCCUGCAACAAGCGUAAAAUUCCUCAGUAGACAAGUAAUUGCAAAGGGUUCAUUGAAGAAAGUUUGAAAAUUGUUGAGCUAGCAGAUAUGGGAAAGCAGAAAAUGUACUCCCCCAGAGUCCAGGACAGUCUGGCCAUGAUUCAACCCAAGAUAAAAAUUCGUUAUCAUUAUCUUCCCUUCCCCCAAAUAGUUCAGGGCAACACAUGUGAGUCCCUCCUCCUUUUAUCUUCUCAGCAAGCUUCUGAGGUAGGUUGGGCUGAGAGUGAGUGACAGGCCCAAGGUCACCCAGAAAGCUUCCUGGCAACAGGAAUUUGAACCUUUGAGGUCUAAUUAAACUUUUGGCUGAAUAAUUUACUGCUUGUACCCCACCCAUCUGACUGGAUUGCCCCAGCCACUCUGGGCAGCUUCCAACAGAAUAUAAAAAACACAAGAAGACAUUAAAAACUUCCCAAUUCAGGGCUGUCUUCAGAUGUCUACAGAAAGCCAUACAAUUGUUGAAUUCAUAUAAUUUUGCAGCUGUCUACGGCCACUGAACAUCCAAACUGCAAUCAUUCUGGUUAUUUUCCCUGCGGUUACUCUCCUGCAGCUCCUGUAAAAUGCAAAGUUUCCAGUUCAUCUGUAGUCUUUUCAGACCGAUCCAUUAGCACAAGAAUCCCACUAGAACUGAACAGACAUUUUGUACUGCUUAGUAGUCUCAAGUUAACAUCAGUAACUUAAAACCCUGGAUUGACAUUAUGAAGGAAUCUCCAUCUUGCAGGAAACACUUAACAUGAUGUGGAAUCAGGCCUUUGAUUUGAAGUUUAAUUGUUAUGAAUAGAAAUUUGCUGUUUUUAUACUUGAGUCUAUUACAAAAUGUGACUGUUUGAUUUAUAAAGGCCACACUGUUGUUUCUAUAUCACUUUCAGAAAAUAAAUAAUUUUGCAAACAUAACGGCCAACCCACUUUCAUAAAAGAAAUCCACUUGCACAAUGGAUACUUUUCUUAUGGAUUCUCUUCUCCUCCUUCUAGCCCCUUAUUUGUCCCAAAAAUUCUGCUCUGGAGGUCCGCUACCUCUCCAGAGCAGAUUUUAGGGGACAUGCAAGGGGGAGUGAUGAGAAGCAGCAGCUCACUUCCACUCUGUUGGAUUUCACCUCAAGUGAUUAAGUGAUGACUUUUGUAUGUUAAGCAGCCAUUGCAGAUGAAGCCCAGCCGAAACGGUUUUCAUAUUGCUUUAUGCCACCUCAGACAAAAUGCCUCACAUGUUCCGCUGCAGACAUGACGUGAUAUAUGUAUAUUAUGUGUGGACUCGGCAUAUUACACACUCGUGGUUUUUAUUUUUUCUAAAUCUACUGCAGAACACUUCCCAAACUAUUUGAUACUUGAAACUCAAGUUUGCAUUCUUUCUCCAACAAAUGCUGGUCUAGCAAGGCCUCUCUUCUCUACUUUUUGACUGCUUUUGGCAUACAUGACAGCUUGGCUUAGCAUGAUGUGCAUGAGCUGGAACAAACCCAAAUGAGCAGCAGGCUCACACACACUCCCCCUCCUAUGCAUGUUAGCAGCUUAAAACGCAGCAAGGUCCUUUUCCCACACUCCUUUUCAAGUCACUUUUCUUUUGUUUUUUUUACACCACUAUACACCUCAGAGAUGGAGCAGGGAUGUCUCCACCCAAUGCUCAUUAUCUGAUUUGUUCCCCUGCAUCAAACUAUUCAGUUAAGUUGUCAUCUACACAUGUGCAACAGUUAUCUCCAAUGUACAUAUCUCAGCUUAAGCACAGUUUAUACUUUCAAAUUAGAUGGAAGCUGAUUUGAGAGGAAGUGCAUUAAAUAGCAUUAUUUCUCAAGAUACAUACUGCGGAUAACAUCAUAUGUAUUCGGCUUCAAACACCAGUGGUGUGAGCAUACUGGAGCAGGAGUAAACAUUAAUAAGUACACAGUCCCAGUUGAUUGUUGGAUGCAGACCAAAAUCUGAAUUGUAACAAAUGGGUCAAUUUCAAAAGCAGUCAAUUUCAAACCAUGCGUGAUCUGGCUUGUUAAAUUAAAAUAAAUUUAAUUAACCAGUGUUUGUUAUAAACCACAAUCCCGGAUUCGCAUCCAACAGCAAGCCAAAAAAUGAAAAGUAAACACUGCUGAAGUCGUCCUUCCCGUUGUGCAGGAAGAAAGGGAACAAGAGGUGCUUGUUUUCUAACAUGCAUAUUGUACUAAGCCAUGGUUUAGCAUGACAUGCAAACCAGGUCAGAGUUUCCCAUGUUUUCUGAUAUCCAUGGUUCAUCUCCCAGUUGCAAAAGCAGUUUAUUAAGCAGCACUUGGGAGGAAGGCAAUAGUAGUAACUCAUAAAAAUGUAAGGAUUGCUACACCUGCAGUACUCAGUGCACAGCCCUUUUUCACAGGCAGUCAGCUGUUUCACACAUGUCUAUACAUCAGGUGUGGGGAGGCUUUGGCCUGCCUGAUAUUGCAGAAUUAUAACUUCCAUCAUCCCAAUGCUUGCUGGGACUCAUGGGAGUUGUAGUUCAGCAACAUCUGGAGUGUCAAAGGUUCUACACACCCACUAUAUAUUACUUGUCUGGUAUGAUGACUCUCCAGCUGAAUGUUUGAACUGUCCUCAUGGAAAGUAUUGUUUUAUAUGAAAUCUGUGAUAGUUCAUUCACACGUGUGAAUCAUCUCUUAAUGACAAAUGAGUGAUGAAAUUAUGUUUGAACUGGCCACACAGGUCCCAUUAAAAGAGUGUUUGUUUUUUAAGGAUGUAGUAUAAUUUGCACCUUCAGAAAGAUAUGCCCUUUGUUUAUAACAUGUAUUGAAAAACAAAUAUUUCCCAUUUCUGCUAGAUUUUGCAAACAGAGGCCUAUGAGUAAAUAGAUACUUCUGAAGAAAGCUGGAGAGGGAGAAAAGAAAAUGUGAUUCAAUUGUUAAUUUUGCUACAAGGUCAUGCACUAUGUGCAUGAAGAACAAUAACAAGGAGAGAUCUUUGUAUGUAAUAACUGUAACUAACCUCAAUCUGUAAAUAGAUUUGAAGGCUCUACAGUUUUGAUACUUUUUUAAGAAAAAACAAUAAAAACCUUGUAUAAAUCCCAUGUGUAAAAAGGCUGGAAUUCCCCACCCCCAAAUCAUUGUAAAUUACUAUGAUGUGACAUUUUCCUGCUUUCCAACUUGACAGAUUUGUAACUAAAUCAAGUCAAUAACCAAAUUUUCUUUUAAAAAAAGAAAAAUGAUUUGUUUUCCAUGUGUUAAUUGGGAGCGUUAUAAUCUUGUUUAACAUUGUAACCAUUUCUGACCUCUGUCUUUGUCAUAUGGAAGUUCCAUUAGGAUGCGUUCUUGCUUGGUGCCUUUUGUGUUUCUGUUUUUCUGAACAAAAGGUCUAGGGAUUUGGGAUGUGGGAGGGCUCUGCUAUUUAUAACAUUUGCUGUACUUACAUCAGUAGGGGGUACUGAAAACCAAAUGAAUACAUUUGUAAGACAGUGCACUGUUUCUAUAGAGAUUAAAUUUUUUUAUUGGCAGAUUGU
rnacentral:lncRNA from 1 species